CGCGUAUUUCGCGCAGGCGGAGCUCGACCGCCGACCAAAGUCAUGAUCACGUUUAUCGACGAUCACCGUGCGCUUUACGGGGUCGAGUCGAUCUGCCGGUUGCUGCCGAUCGCCCCG
rfam:Burkholderia telluris isolate LMG 22936 genome assembly, contig: contig000125